UACGGAGGGAGCUAGCGUUGUUCGGAAUUACUGGGCGUAAAGCGCGCGUAGGCGGACCUGCAAGUCGGGGGUGAAAGCCCGAGGCUCAACCUCGGAACUGCCUUCGAUACUGCGGUCUCGAGUCCGGGAGAGGUGAGUGGAAUUCCUAGUGUAGAGGUGAAAUUCGUAGAUAUUAGGAAGAACACCAGUGGCGAAGGCGGCUAC
rnacentral:rRNA from 1 species